UCUCAGAACUUCAAAGUGUGUUGGUAGCUCGCUGUGUUAAUCGAUAUAUGCGUAUAAGUCCUUUAAGGAACCUGCAGACACUGUUUUUUCCCCUUUUUUCUGUCUUGAGACUGUUUGAAUGCCAGUUCCUGCAUUGGUUUUGGCUUUAUCAAAAAAAUACACUUCAUCUCUUGCUGUUCGUAGCAUUUUGAGAGUAAAAGUAUAUUUUUAAAAUCACUUGCUGUUUGUCGUACUUGCCCAGUAUUAUUAUUUUUCCGGUAAGGGGGAACUGUGUAUGCAUACGAACACUGUCUGUGAUGAUGGAUUAUCCUAGACCACAACACCGUGGCAACAGUGGAAAAAGAAUUUGAUUUCCACUUGGAAAACAGUGCCAUAGCAACAUUGGAAUGAAGCAGACUUUUGGUAUUAUUUACUAGAUUACUGUAGCAUGACUUCAAGAUCCUGAUCUUUGCUUUUACUUAAUCAUCCUUUAGGUAUUUGUUGCUUUUAUGCUCUACACAACAAUUUUUACUGUUUUCAAAGGAAAAAAGAAAGAAUUGAUACUUAUAGUAGUUGGGUUUAGGUUUAAGUAUAUUUUCAGCACCCUACCCCCCCCCCAAAAAAAAAAAAUAAAAAGAACUUAGCAAAGUAAAAAAAUGUAUUUGUAGAACUUCUGGAUUUAAAAGAAUUACUAAAAGCUUAUUCACCAAGUCAAGAGGUAGCCUACCUGAAUAAUCAUGUGUCUUAUUUAAAAUCAGUACAAAAUUAAUUAGUCUCAAAGAACUGAAAACAUAAUUUGGAAUAGGCUAUACUUGCUAAGAUAGUUUCCUAAUACUUCUUGCAGAAUUCCAGUAAGGCUUUUGGGGGUUGCAGUAACAUAGCAUUUUUUUCCAACACAGCUCCUGAACCAAUAUAUUCCUUUAUUCUUCAGAUCCACUGCUUCAGCUGGUGAAAACCACUGAUGGUGCUGCCUAAAAACAAGCUGAAUAAAUCAACUCAAGCAAAGUAAACGUACGGACCCCCCCAGCAGUGGCUGUGGGCCCACGUCACGCGCCCCUGACGGAAGGAGGAGGCCGUUCCUGCGGGGUGGCGGCCUGGCUUCAGGAGCUCAUCCAGCAAGCUGGUGGUCCCUGGUGGUGGCCAGUGGGGCUACUUCUCCAGCUGCUCCAGCUCUUUCUCCUUCUCGCUGAGACGGAUCCAAAUCAGCUUUGCUGUACAGGAGGCAAAUCGUACAGCUCCAGCCUCCGAGGAGCAAGAAUCACGCCAAACGCCUUCCUUCUCGAGCUGCUGUGAAAGGAGAGCGGUGCGUCUGCUGCUUGUCACCUGGGGCAGGCUUUAAAAUACAAAAUAAGAAAUCCUUAUGAUAGCCUACCCUCCUUUGGGAUGGGAAAAUGGUGAUUGCCUUUGUCUUGCUGUUCUGUGAAGAACAUCACUUUAAUGGUGUAAUAAAUGUCAAAGCAAAACUUCUAAGUAGUUAAUU
rnacentral:lncRNA from 1 species